AUGUGGAGCUCGGCAUGUCUGGAAGCACAGGAGAACGUUCUUUUGCUGAUAUUAUUACCAGUAUUCGAUACUGGAUUAUUCAUAGCAUUACUAUACCCUCCCUAUUCAUUGCGGGUUGGUUAUUUGUCAGCACGGGUUUAGCUUACGAUGUAUUUGGAAGCCCCCGUCCAAACGAUACGAUGGUUGGCUGUUCACGGACUAGCGGUACCUACCGUUUCUUUUUUGGGAUCAAUAUCAGCAAUGCAGUUCAUCCAACGAUAA